AGUUUUUUAGUUAGUUGAGUUUAAGUCAGGUAGCACCAUGAACCCCAUCCUAGCGUCGGAUAUGGGCGAGGGGUGUUACAGAACAAAAGAUGUCUUUAAACUUUUUAACAUGAACACAAUAGCGGACAAUUUCUAAUUCACACAUCGGAUAAUUCUUUGAUGUGUCUUUAAUUGUAUAGAAUCAUAAGCUAUAUCUUUACACUCUUGUACUAGAAC
rnacentral:lncRNA from 1 species